rnacentral:rRNA from 1 species
CCGGCGCACGGNUGAGUAACGCGUAUGCAACCUGUCCGUUACAGGGGGAUAGCCCAUGGAAGCGUGGAUUAACACUCCAUAAUAUAAUAUAGAGGCAUCUUUGUAUUAUUAAAUAUUCAUAGGUAACGGUUGGGCAUGCGUCCUAUUAGAUAGUUGGGGGGGUAACGGCCCACCAAGUCGAUGAUAGGUAGGGGUUCUGAGAGGAAGGUCCCCCACACUGGUGCUGAGACACGGACCAGACUCCUACGGGAGGCAGCAGUGAGGAAUAUUGGUCAAUGGGCGAGAGCCUGAACCAGCCAAGUCGCGUGAGGGAUGACUGCCCUAUGGGUUGUAAACCUCUUUUGUAUGGGGGGAAUAAGCUUUACGAGUAGAGUGAUGACAGUACCAUACGAAUAAGCAUCGGCUAACUCCGUGCCAGCAGCCGCGGUAAUACGGAGGAUGCGAGCGUUAUCCGGAUUUAUUGGGUUUAAAGGGUGCGUAGGCGGCAUUAUAAGUUAGUGGUAAAAUAUUGGGGCUUCACCUCACUACGCCAUUAAUACUGUAGAGCUAGAGAACAGACGAGGUAGGCGGAAUAAGUUAAGUAGCGGUGAAAUGCAUAGAUAUAACUUAGAACACCGAUAGCGAAGGCAGCUUACCAGACUGAGUCUGACGCUGAUGCACGAGAGCAUGGGUAGCGAACAGGAUUAGAUACCCUGGUAGU